CUGAUCGUUCAACUUGGCAAUGAGUACUAGCGUCUGCACCCUCCUUCCCCUCAUCUGAUGUUUCCUUAUCAUCCAUGAGUCCAUCUCUUACAAGUUGUAUGAUUACGCCAUUUUGCUGUUAUACUGGGUAGUAGCUAUUGUCCUGCUCAUGCUCCUGGUUGGUUGGGGGUGUUGGUGAAAUGCUAGGGUUAAUUAAAGGGUUCUUGGCUAGCACUUCUUUGAAGUUUAGUUUAUUUUCUCAUGGUCUAUCAUCAUGCCUUAAGUUUGGUUGUUGUUCGGAAAUGUACACGGCUUAGGUUUUAAUCAAUUGGCAUGUUCAUUUUACUUGUUAUGGAGUAAAUUUGAUAAGAAUAGUGGCAAUUGAGCAACACCACUACUAGUAUAACUCAGCUUUAUUUACUAAUCAGUAGGUAUCUAGUACUAGUAGAUUCAGAAUAUGCAGUCCUAAAAAUUAAAGGGAGCAACAGUAAAUGAGUUAAACAAAAAUAUUCGUCUGCAAAUGUCGGUUUGUGUUCGAUUUGAUUUGGUUUGCUCUGUUGCUGAAGGUCCUCUUUGCUCUAACCAUUUUCGCACCAAAUGCAGAAUGUUCUGUUUUUAUUAAGCCCUGAUGUUUAGCCCCGAUUAGUCUUCUUAUUUAGCUCUAAUGUUUUAAUUUAUGUAGUUGUUACUUCUUUGGUAAGAUUUAUUUCCUUGUUGUAGGCAUAAGAAUAAGCUGAUAUGAACAUAAUAAUGAUACUCUACAUGCUAUGAGUAAAGUUCUCUAUUUUCUUGCGUCACCUUGUAUGAAUGAGUAUAUCGUCUUAACUAUCUGGGGAACAAAAAUCAUUGUAUUAGCUGAAUUUGUGUUAUCAUUCUAAACAACUUGUCCUUUUUUUGAACGUUCUGUUCAUAAUAUAUUGGCUCCAGUAUUUUGAUUCUUCUCUUCUCAUUCAUGUAACAGGGUGACGGCCGAAGGCAUGAUGAUAGUUCUAUUGCUGUCCUAGUGUAGCGAAGGUGGCCUAGUCGACUAUGGUCGCGUAGUUAGUCAUGCAUACAGUUUCAUCUGACUGGAGCAGGAGCCCAGUUUGUGCUGAUUGUCAAUUCUCAUUGUGAUUGUCCCUAUAUCUGUGUGACUGAUUGUAUUUGUAUCUGUGUUAUUACACUAGUAGAGCUUGUAACUGUGUCAUGACAAAAGGAGC
rnacentral:lncRNA from 1 species